UACGAAUUUCAGGAAUACAGCA
rnacentral:miRNA from 1 species